AUGCUCUUCAGAUUUGCAAUUGCCAUGGAAAAGGAAGCGUCAAAUUUCUUGUACAUUAAAUGCUAUGCUCUUCAGAUUUGCUGAGAUUUCCUUUGAAGAUGGUCUAGUAAGCCCAAGUACAUU